rnacentral:rRNA from 1 species
AUUGAACGCUGGCGGCAUGCUUUACACAUGCAAGUCGAACGGUAACAGGCCGCAAGGUGCUGACGAGUGGCGAACGGGUGAGUAAUGCAUCGGAACGUGCCCAGUCGUGGGGGGUAACUACUCGAAAGAGUAGCUAAUACCGCAUACGAUCUAUGGAUGAAAGCGGGGGACCGUAAGGGCGCGCGCGAUUGGAGCGGCCGAUGUCAGAUUAGGUAGUUGGUGGGGUAAAGGCUCACCAAGCCAACGAUCUGUAGCUGGUCUGAGAGGACGACCAGCCACACUGGGACUGAGACACGGCCCAGACUCCUACGGGAGGCAGCAGUGGGGAAUUUUGGACAAUGGGCGCAAGCCUGAUCCAGCAAUGCCGCGUGCAGGAAGAAGGCCUUCGGGUUGUAAACUGCUUUUGUACGGAACGAAACGGCUCUGGUUAAUACCCGGGGCUAAUGACGGUACCGUAAGAAUAAGCACCGGCUAACUACGUG